rnacentral:rRNA from 2 species
UACGUAGGGUGCAAGCGUUGUCCGGAAUUAUUGGGCGUAAAGAGCUCGUAGGCGGUCUGUCGCGUCGGCUGUGAAAACCCGAGGCUCAACCUCGGGCCUGCAGUCGAUACGGGCAAACUGGAGUGUUGCAGGGGAGACUGGAAUUCCUGGUGUAGCGGUGAAAUGCGCAGAUAUCAGGAGGAACACCGGUGGCGAAGGCGGGUCUCUGGGCAACAACUGACGCUGAGGAGCGAAAGCGUGGGGAGCGAACAGG